AUGUGUUUAUAUGAAAUUCAUUUAUUUCUUGUCGUAAAAUAUCCUAUUCCACAGGAAAAAGAGAAAAAAGCCAUGACUGACCAGAUUACAUCCAUCAACAAUGAGAUGUCUGAUAUUUUGCCAAAGAGAGAAACGGACAAGAAAAAGAUAACUGAUAUGAGUCAAGUGGUUCAGGCUUUCGAGCGAUCGAGGAGGUGAGAGUGCAGCUUGCUGAAACAGAUGAAAUAAUUCACCAAAGAGACUGCUUGAUCAGUCAUCAAAGCGCUUCCUUGAAGGAGUUCACCACAACUGCAGAGCAACUGAAAGUGGAGGUUAAGGACCUGCAGGCCCAGUUGGAAUUUGCAUUGGUUGCUGAAGGGGGCAGUUUUCUGAAGAUGGAUGGCACUUUCACCUUGGCCACAGAGCUCCCUCUUUCUCUGGCUGAAGAGUUCAGUCUGACACCUGGACUCAGGCAGGAGGAAAUAGAUGACAGAUCAGAGUCUGAGGAGAUCAUGGAGGUUGAACAGAACAUAAUGGAGCUGAAAGAGGAGGUAGGAGAGGUCAGCAGCAAGGAGGUGGAAAGGGGUAUCAGCUCUGAGAAAGUGGAAACUGCUGUAAGUCAGGAGGCCAAGGUAGCAAUGGCAGAACUCAAGGCACUGGAGGAGGAGGAGCGAGCAGGAGAGGAGGACAGGUACAUGUUAGGAUCAGAUAACAAUGAGGUCAAGCUGGACUUACUAUCGGGAUGUGUAUUUAUGUACUUACAAUAAUGUGACGCACUACACUUGGUCAGUCAUUAGGGUGUCCAAACCAUUACACCUGUGUUGAUGUUACUGUUCCUCUCUGCCUUUCCCUUGUCCAUCUCCCCAUGUUCUGCCCCUCACUGAAGUGACAGCUGGCUGGGUGAGGCCUGGCGGAGCUUCAAAAGAGGG
ensembl:lncRNA